UACGUAGGGUGCGAGCGUCAAUCGGAAUUACUGGGCGUAAAGCGUGCGCAGGCGGUUCGUUGUGUCGGCGGGGAAAGCCCCGGGCUUAACCUGGGAAUGGCCGUUGAAACUGGCGAACUGGAGUGUGGCAGAGGGGGGUGGAAUUCCGCGUGUAGCAGUGAAAUGCGUAGAGAUGCGGAGGAACACCGAUGGCGAAGGCAGCCCCCUGGGCUAACACUGACGCUCAGGCACGAAAGCGUGGGGAGCAAACAGG
rnacentral:rRNA from 1 species